AUUGAACGCUGGCGGCGUGCCUAACACAUGCAAGUCGAGCGAUUCUCUUCGGAGAAGAGCGGCGGACGGGUGAGUAACGCGUGGGUAACCUGCCCUUUACACACGGAUAACAUACCGAAAGGUAUGCUAAUACGAGAUAAUAUGCUUUUGUCGCAUGGUAGAGGUAUCAAAGCUCAGGCGGUACAGGAUGGACCCGCGUCUGAUUAGCUAGUUGGUAAGGUAACGGCUUACCAAGGCGACGAACAGUAGCCGACCUGAGAGGGUGAGCGGCCACAUUGGAACUGAGACACGGUCCAAACUCCUACGGGAGGCAGCAGUGGGGAAUAUUGCACAAUGGGCGAAAGCCUGAUGCAGCAACGCCGCGUGAGCGAUGAAGGCCUUCGGGUCGUAAAGCUCUGUCCUCAAGGAAGAUAAUGACGGUACUUGAGGAGGAAGCCCCGGCUAACUACGUGCCAGCAGCCGCCGUAACAC
rnacentral:rRNA from 1 species